CUCUUCGGAGCUAGCGGCGGACGGGUUAGUAACGCGUGGGAACGUGCCCUUCACUGCGGAAUAGCCACUGGAAACGGUGAGUAAUACCGCAUACGCCCUUCGGGGGAAAGAUUUAUCGGUGAAGGAUCGGCCCGCGUUAGAUUAGAUAGUUGGUGGGGUAACGGCCUACCAAGUCUACGAUCUAUAGCUGGUUUUAGAGGAUGAUCAGCAACACUGGGACUGAGACACGGCCCAGACUCCUACGGGAGGCAGCAGUGGGGAAUCUUGGACAAUGGGCGCAAGCCUGAUCCAGCCAUGCCGCGUGAGUGAUGAAGGCCUUAGGGUCGUAAAGCUCUUUCGCCAGAGAUGAUAAUGACAGUAUCUGGUAAAGAAACCCCGGCUAACUCCGUGCCAGCAGCCGCGGUAAUACGGAGGGGGUUAGCGUUGUUCGGAAUUACUGGGCGUAAAGCGCACGUAGGCGGAUCAGAAAGUUGGGGGUGAAAUCCCGGGGCUCAACCCCGGAACUGCCUCCAAAACUCCUGGUCUUGAGUUCGAGAGAGGUGAGUGGAAUUCCGAGUGUAGAGGUGAAAUUCGUAGAUAUUCGGAGGAACACCAGUGGCGAAGGCGGCUCACUGGCUCGAUACUGACGCUGAGGUGCGAAAGUGUGGGGAGCAAACAGGAUUAGAUACCCUGGUAGUCCACACCGUAAACGAUGAAUGCCAGUCGUC
rnacentral:rRNA from 1 species